CCUACGGGUCGCACCAGUGGGGAAUAUUGGACAAUGGGCGAAAGCCUGAUCCAGCAAUGCCGCGUGUGUGAAGAAGGUCUUCGGAUUGUAAAGCACUUUCGACGGGGACGAUGACGACGGUACCCGUAGAAGAAGCCCCGGCUAACUUCGUGCCAGCAGACGCGGUAAUACGAAGGGGGCUAGCGUUGCUCGGAAUGACUGGGCGUAAAGGGCGCGUAGGCGGUUUAUGCAGUCAGAUGUGAAAUCCCCGGGCUUAACUUGGGAACUGCAUUUGAGACGCAUAGACUAGAGGUCGAGAGAGGGUUGUGGAAUUCCCAGUGUAGAGGUGAAAUUCGUAGAUAUUGGGAAGAACACCGUGGCGAAGGCGGCAACCUGGCUCGAUACUGACACUGAGAGACGUAAGCUGGGGGAGCGAAUGGGAUUAGAUACCCUUGUAGUC
rnacentral:rRNA from 1 species